UUGCAAUGACUCAACGCUCAAUGAUUAAACCUCUCAUUUAUUCGUAAUUGGCACAAAAUCAACGGAUUAAGUUAAUUAAGGUCUUAUGAAAAGGUUAUUGACAAGAUAGUUGGAACAAAUUUAUAGUUGAACAUUAUUGUCUUCUCAAUAUUAUCUAUCUGUAUCAAUGUAGAAAUUGAUUGUGUUAACUUUUGGAAAUUUUGUCACUACGUGUAAGACUGUUAGCAUAUGCCUGCGUGUUCGACAAAAUUGGGAUGCGUAAAACAAACAAUCACGUGACACAAAACUUAAUUUGCAGUUUGUGAUUUUACCUUUUAUAGAUGAAUUGCAGGAGCCACACGUUGAAAAAAAAGGAAAAAUGCCAAAACAAAAGGGAAAAGGGCCAUCUUCUAAUAGCCAAUCCACCCAAGAAGUUAUAGCUCAUUUGCAAUCCAAAAUCAUCCAAAAUGGACAAAAUCCAAAACCAAUUCCGUCAAGUAUCCAGCUGCUCGUAAAAAUAUUCCCCAACAUUUUUCCUGAUAGACUCGAAAUGUACCUUAGACGUAACAAGGGCGACCUCAUGUACACCAUCAAGUACAUCAAAGGUCUAAUGAAAGAUGUUGCAUUACUUCCACAACCAUCAAGAAGCUCUCCACUCACCAAUACCAGUUUUUUCAACAACCCGCACCACCAUCAAAGGCAUCCAACACAACCAACAUACCAAAUUUUCCCACCUUUUCACAACACCUAUUUCAUCCCACUUCCCCUGCGAGCCCCUACAUUUACUCGUGUAAGAGUUAUCACUUCCAUCCACGACGAGAAAAAUGAAAACGGAAAUGAAGGAAAGGCCAAGGAAACGAUACAUGAAUAAAGAAAAUGGAAAGUAAGUUCAUGGUGAAAGAGGAAACGGCAUCGUUAACAUUUGAUAACUUUUUCUAAAACUAUGUUACAUUUAGAAAGUAAAGAUCAUUUUGCACGCGGAAUUUUAUUUCAUUGACAUACGGGAAUUAUAAUCUUUUAUUUAUGCAUGCAAAACAAAGUUUAUUUUCUUCAUAUUGUUCGGGUUCACUACGGUAUAAUAGUGUUGAUGCAUGUACUUAGAUAAAUCUAAUAAGAAGUAAUAAAGUCACUUAUAGAGCAAUUUAAAAACUAUUGAAAGCAUUUUCAAUGUUUUCAUUUACCAUAUAUGUAUUUCUUAUUGUAAAUUAUAUUUAUUAUUUUAUUGCAAUAUAUUAUUAAACUAUUUCAGCACAAUUUUCUAUUACUUGAUAUCAUUCAUAAAAAGUUGUUCCUGCAUGAUUUUCCACCAACUGUAAGCUUUCCGUCAGUACU